ACACGUGAGUGACCUGCCCUUGACUCUGGGAUAAGCCUUGGAAACGAGGUCUAAUACCGGAUAGGAGCACUCAUCGCAUGGUGGGUGUUGGAAAGAAUUUCGGUCAUGGAUGGACUCGCGGCCUAUCAGCUUGUUGGUGAGGUAAUGGCUCACCAAGGCGACGACGGGUAGCCGGCCUGAGAGGGUGACCGGCCACACUGGGACUGAGACACGGCCCAG
rnacentral:rRNA from 1 species